ACGUGAAAAGAUCAUAUUAAUACAUAUAAUUAUAUAUUGAAAGCUAGCUUUUGAAUUAAAACCAUGUGAAUUGAAUCUUCGGAUAUAUAAUAGUAACGUCAAUAAAUUUUGGUUUAGGUUUUCAAAUACACAUUUGCAUUGAAACUUGAAGCAGUUUUAUUUUAAGGACGCUACUGAUUUUCACAUACGUAUUUGCAUAGAAUCUUGAAGUUUAUUUUUAAGAAGGCUUCUAACAAGUUUAAAGUUAUCAAGAAUUUUGUUUCAUAUAAUUCUGCUAUUAGAGAAACAUAAUAAGUUUUAAAUUCUGGAAAGAUAUUUGCAUUUUUGAGCAUACGGCAUUUUCCGGGACCGCUAAACUUUUUAUAAGAUUAAAACGAUUUAAAUUGUAUCUUCAGCUAUAAUGCAUUAAUUUUGGUUUGAAUGUCCACACACAUCAAUGCAUUAAUGGUUGAAAUAAUAAUUCUAUUUUAAAAAGGGCUUUUGGUUUUCACACCCACAUUUGCGUUGAGACUACUGCGAGAGAGAAGUAGGUUUAUUUUUAAGAAGGCUUCUGAAGGCUUCUGGUAAGUCUACAUUUCACGAGAAUUUUGUCUCAUAUAAUCCUGCUAUUAGAGCAACAUAAUAAGUUUUAAAUUCUGUAAAGCUAUUUGCAUUUUUGAGUAUAUGGCAUUUUCUAGGACAGCAUAAAUUUAUGUAAGGUAUUGCUUUUUCGUAUUAUUUCCAUUAAAAUUUUAAUUUCUAGUUAUAUUUUACUUUAAAAUAUCAUAUUUACAUUAUAAUUAAGUGUUGAAAAUGGAUUUGUAGAUUAAAACAAUUUAAAUUGAAUAUUCGGGUAUAAUGCAUUAAUUUUUGUUUGGAUGUCCACACACAUCAAUGCAUUAAUGGUCGAAAUAAUUCUAUUUUAAGAAGAGCUUCUGUUUUAAUUGCUACUUUAAAAGAUCAUAUUCACAUUAUAAUUACAUGUUGCGAUCUGAUAUUUGGAUUAAAGGUUUUCACAUACACUUUGCAUUGAAACUUAAAGUAGUUUUAUUUUAAGAAAGUUACUGGUAAGUCUACAUUUAUCAAGGAUCUUAUUUCAAAUAAUUCUGCUAUUAGAAUGAGUAUUAUGUAUUUAGAU